CUACGGGGCGCUCCAGUGGGGAAUCUUAGACAAUGGGCGCAAGCCUGAUCUAGCCAUGCCGCGUGAGUGACGAAGGCCUUAGGGUCGUAAAGCUCUUUCGCUAGGGAAGAUAAUGACUGUACCUAGUAAAGAAACCCCGGCUAACUCCGUGCCAGCAGCCGCGGUAAUACGGAGGGGGUUAGCGUUGUUCGGAAUUACUGGGCGUAAAGCGCGCGUAGGCGGAUCAGAAAGUUGGGGGUGAAAUCCCAGGGCUCAACCCUGGAACUGCCUCCAAAACUCCUGGUCUUGAGUUCGAGAGAGGUGAGUGGAAUUCCGAGUGUAGAGGUGAAAUUCGUAGAUAUUCGGAGGAACACCAGUGGCGAAGGCGGCUCACUGGCUCGAUACUGACGCUGAGGUGCGAAAGCGUGGGGAGCAAACAGGAUUAGAUACCCUUGUAGUC
rnacentral:rRNA from 1 species